rnacentral:rRNA from 1 species
GACGAACGCUGGCGGCGUGCUUAACACAUGCAAGUCGAACGGACAGGCGCUGCUUUUGCUGCGUUCUCGAGUGGCGAACGGGUGAGUAUCACGCGAGUAUCCUGCCCCUGACUUUGGGAUAACUUCAGGAAAAUGCGGCUCUUACCGGGUAGGAUCUCCUGCUGCAUGGGGGUGGAUGGAAAGUUACGGCGGUGUUGGAUGGGCUCGCAGGUUAUGAGCUUCAUGGGCGAGUAGUGGCUUACCAAGCCUUUGACGGGUAGCCGGCCUGGGAGGGUGACCGGGGACCAGGGGACUGAGAGACGGCGCAGUAUGCUACGUGAGGCAGCGGUGGGAAGUAUGACACAAUGGGCGGAAGCCUGAUGCGGAGGCGCCGGGAGCGUGAUGACGGCCUACGGGUUGUGAACCGCUUUCGCCGGUGACGAAGCGUGAGUGACGGUAAUGGGUCAAGAAGCAACGGCUAACUACGUG